ACCAGACUCCUACGGGAGGCAGCAGUGGGGGAUAUUGCACAAUGGGGGGAACCCUGAUGCAGCGACGCCGCGUGGGUGAAGGAGCGUUUCGGCGCGUAAAGCCCUAUCGGCAGGGAAGAAGGAGGACGGUACCUGACUAAGAAGCCCCGGCUAACUACGUGCCAGCAGCCGCGGUAAUACGUAGGGGGCGAGCGUUAUCCGGAUUCACUGGGUGUAAAGGGAGCGUAGACGGCCAUGCAAGCCAGGGGUGAAAGCCCGGGGCCCAACCCCGGGACUGCCCUUGGAACUGCAUGGCUGGAGUGCGGGAGGGGCAGGCGGAAUUCCUGGUGUAGCGGUGAAAUGCGUAGAUAUCAGGAGGAACACCGGCGGCGAAGGCGGCCUGCUGGACCGCGACUGACGUUGAGGCUCGAAAGCGUGGGGAGCAAACAGGAUUAGAUACCCCAGUAC
rnacentral:rRNA from 1 species